AGCGAACGCUGGCGGCAGGCCUAACACAUGCAAGUCCAACGAACCCUUCGGGGUUAGUGGCGGACGGGUGAGUAACACGUGGGAACGUGCAUUUCGGUUCGGAAUACCUCAGGGAAACUUGUGCUAAUACCGAAUGUGCCCUCCGGGGGAAAGACUUAUCGCCUUUAGAGCGGCCCGCGGCUGAUUAGCUAGUUGGUGAGGUAAUGGCUCACCAAGGCUACGGUCAGUAGCUGGUCUGAGAGGAAGACCAGCGGCAUUGGGACGGAGACACGGCCCAAGCUCCUACGGGAGGCAGCAGUGGGAAAUGUUGCGCAAUGGGCGAAAGCCUGACGCAGCCAUGCCGCGUGGAUGAUGAAGGUCUUAGGAUUGUAAAACCCUUUCACCGUUGAAGAUAAUGACUGUAGCCGGAGAAGAAGCCCCGGCUAACUUCGUGCCAGCAGCCGCCGUAACAC
rnacentral:rRNA from 1 species